AUCAACGAGUUCGUCGGAAACUGGAUUUGUGCCGUGCCGGUCGGCGCGACGCUGGCAGGCUAUCGCACUUACCAUCUCAAGCAUCAUCGGUUCACGCAGCAGCCGGAAGAUCCCGACCUCGGGCUUUCCGCGCCGUUUCCGAUCUCNCAGCUUCUAUCGGAAGGCGUUCCGCGAUCUCACAGGGCAAACCUUCAUCAAGCAGCGCAGGCCAUCGUUCAAGGCGCUGUUCGCGCGGCGUGAUCUGGUGCUGACGGACGCGAUGCGCGA
rnacentral:misc_RNA from 1 species